AUGGAAAAAAUAAUGGUUGAGAAAUCUUGCCAUAACCCAUUUGGAGAGCAAAGUGAAAAGCAAAAACAGAAGUAGAAAUUAACAUUCAGAAAAUGGAGACGAAUGUGUUCCCAUUUAAGACCCAGGCCUGAAGGAAGGCCUUCAGAGAACCUAGAGAGCAGGGUUCUCAGAGUCCCCACCUCAGCCACGCCGGCAGCACCUGCAGGGUCCCCGAUGGCCCCAACCGUGUCCUUACUCUUGGCCCUGGUGCUGCUCAGCUGCAACUCCACGUGCUCUCUGGGCUGCGACCUGCCUCAGACCCACAGCCUGGCUAACACGAGGGCCCUGAGGCUACUGCAACAAAUGAGGAGAAUCUCCCCCUUCUCCUGCCUCAAGGACAGAAAUGACUUUGGAUUCCCCCAGGAGGCAUUUGGUGGCAACCAGUUCCAGAAGGCUCAAGCCAUCGCUGUCGUCCAUGAGAUGAUCCAGCAGACCUUCCAGCUCUUCAGCGCCGAGGGCUCGGCUGCCGCUUGGGAUGAGACCCUCCUGGACAAGUUCUGCACUGCACUUUUUCAGCAGCUCACUGACCUGCAAGCCUGUCUGAUGCAGGAGGCGGGGCUGGAAGGGACUCCCCUGCUGAAGGAGGACUCCAUCCUGGCUGUGAGGAAAUACUUCCACAGAAUCACUGUCUAUCUGCAAGAGAAGAAAUAUAGCCCUUGUGCCUGGGAGAUUGUCAGAGCAGAAGUCAUGAGAUCCUUUUCUUCAUCAACAAACUUGCAAGAAAGACUCAGGAGGAAGGAGUGACACG